rnacentral:rRNA from 1 species
GACGGAGGGGGCUAGCGUUGUUCGGAAUGACUGGGCGUAAAGAGCUCGUAGGCGGCUUGUCGCGUCGAAUGUGAAAACCACGGCUCAACUGUGGGCUUGCAUUCGAUACGGGCAGGCUAGAGUUCGGUAGGGGAGACUGGAAUUCCUGGUGUAGCGGUGAAAUGCGCAGAUAUCAGGAGGAACACCGGUGGCGAAGGCGGGUCUCUGGGCCGAUACUGACGCUGAGGAGCGAAAGCGUGGGGAGCGAACAGG